UCAAAUGAGAGCAGAAAAGCUGAGUAAGAAGAGAUCUACAUUUACUGUAAAAACAAGCCCCUUUAGCAAUCGAGUGACACUACAGCUAUCCAAUGUGGAGUGCUUCAGCUCCACCUAGUGGCACCUGCUGUACCUACAACAUCCCACAUUUCCUUUGUAAGAAAUUUAUUUGGCUGGGAGUGAGUUCAGACACAUGCAGUGCAUGAAUGUUAUGCAGAUGUCUCUUUUGGUAAACAGUUCUCCACUCUUACCACAGCAGCUUGGAUCCAAUGAUGAGGUCUUGGACUUCUCGUCUGCUCUUUGGCUCUGGAGCAUGUGACUCUGGUCUCUGGUGGCCCAGUUUGUCCCGGAGCAGCCCGAAGCCACAGCGGUCCGGCUCGCACUGCACAGCCAUGUCCGUCUCCUUCUCCAGGAUCUCCAGGCUCAGCUUCUUGCUGCUGCACAAACAGUCCUCCAGGCGCACCGCAAGGCUGGCAUGCUGGAGAGGCAAGAUGUCCUCAUGAGAUGGGACUGUCAUUAAGCUCUGGAAAAAUGAAGAGCCCACUGCACUGGACCACAUUGAAAACCUCCUGGUUAUUCC